rnacentral:rRNA from 1 species
CUACGGGGUGCACCAGUGGGGAAUAUUGCACAAUGGGCGCAAGCCUGAUGCAGCCAUGCCGCGUGUAUGAAGAAGGCCUUCGGGUUGUAAAGUACUUUCAGCGGGGAGGAAGGGAGUAAAGUUAAUACCUUUGCUCAUUGACGUUACCCGCAGAAGAAGCACCGGCUAACUCCGUGCCAGCAGCCGCGGUAAUACGGAGUGUGCAAGCGUUAAUCGGAAUUACUGGGCGUAAAGCGCACGCAGGCGGGUUGUUAAGUCAGAUGUGAAAUCCCCGGGCUCAACCUGGGAACUGCAUCUGAUACUGGCAAGCUUGAGUCUCGUAGAGGGGGGUAGAAUUCCAGGUGUAGCGGUGAAAUGCGUAGAGAUCUGGAGGAAUACCGGUGGCGAAGGCGGCCCCCUGGACGAAGACUGACGCUCAGGUGCGAAAGCGUGGGGAGCAAACAGGAUUAGAUACCCGAGUAGUC